rnacentral:rRNA from 1 species
AAACUGGGUCUAAUACCGGAUAUGACCAUGGGAUGCAUGUCUUGUGGUGGAAAGCUUUUGCGGUGUGGGAUGGGCCCGCGGCCUAUCAGCUUGUUGGUGGGGUUAUGGCCUACCAAGGCGACGACGGGUAGCCGGCCUGAGAGGGUGACCGGCCACACUGGGACUGAGAUACGGCCCAGACUCCUACGGGAGGCAGCAGUGGGGAAUAUUGCACAAUGGGCGCAAGCCUGAUGCAGCGACGCCGCGUGAGGGAUGACGGCCUUCGGGUUGUAAACCUCUUUCAGUAUCGACGAAGCGCAAGUGACGGUAGGUACAGAAGAAGGACCGGCCAACUACGUGCCAGCAGCCGCGGUAAUACGUAGGGUCCGAGCGUUGUCCGGAAUUACUGGGCGUAAAGAGCUCGAAGGUGGUUUGUCGCGUUGUUCGUGAAAACUCACAGCUCAACUGUGGGCGUGCGGGCGAUACGGGCAGACUGGAGUACUGCAGGGGAGACUGGAAUUCCUGGUGUAGCGGUGGAAUGCGCAGAUAUCAGGAGGAACACCGGUGGCGAAGGCGGGUCUCUGGGCAGUAACUGACGCUGAGGAGCGAAAGCGUGGGGAGCGAACAGGAUUAGAUACCCUGGUAGUCCACGCCGUAAACGGUGGGUACUAGGUGUGGGUUUCCUUCCUUGGGAUCCGUGCCGUAGCUAACGCAUUAAGUACCCCGCCUGGGGAGUACGGCCGCAAGGCUAAAACUCAAAGAAAUUGACGGGGGCCCGCACAAGCGGCGGAGCAUGUGGAUUAAUUCGAUGCAACGCGAAGAACCUUACCUGGGUUUGACAUGCACAGGACGCUGGUAGAGAUAUCAGUUCCCUUGUGGCCUGUGUGCAGGUGGUGCAUGGCUGUCGUCAGCUCGUGUCGUGAGAUGUUGGGUUAAGUCCCGCAACGAGCGCAACCCUUAUCUUAUGUUGCCAGCGCGUAAUGGCGGGGACUCGUGAGAGACUGCCGGGGUCAACUCGGAGGAAGGUGGGGAUGACGUCAAGUCAUCAUGCCCCUUAUGUCCAGGGCUUCACACAUGCUACAAUGGCCGGUACAAAGGGCUGCGAUGCCGUGAGGUGGAGCGAAUCCUUUCAAAGCCGGUCUCAGUUCGGAUCGGGGUCUGCAACUCGACCCCGUGAAGUCGGAGUCGCUAGUAAUCGCAGAUCAGCAACGCUGCGGUGAAUACGUUCCCGGGCCUUGUACACACCGCCCGUCACGUCAUGAAAGUCGGUAACACCCGAAGCCGGUGGCCUAACCCCUUGUGGGAGGGAGCCGUCGAAGGUGGGAUCGGCGAUUGGGACGAAGUCGGAACAAGGUA